rnacentral:lncRNA from 1 species
UUUAUUAAUAGAUUUUUUCACCAUUUAUCUCUGAGGAUCUUACACAUAGGUAUUUUAAAGUCCUUUUUAGAAUUAAGUGCAGCAAUUUCAUGCUGAUUUUGUAGUUUGGCUUUUCUCGUGUGAUUUUUCUCUUGAGGUUGGGUCCAGGUCUUCCCAGCUCCUUAGGCCCGAGCUUCCUACGAGCCAUAGUUGUAGGCAGUGUUUGGGAGUGUAGCUUUGUUUUAGUCAUCUUUCACAAGUCAGAAAACUCUCCCUAAGUCCCUGGUUUUAAGAAGGGACCCUGGAUCCUGUAUUCUGCCCUCAGGGAGGGUGUAUUUAUUCUCUACUACACCCAGGAGGAAGCUCUGCUUUUCUUCCAGGCAUUGAACCAACAAAGCUGGUGCCCAAGUCAUCAUCUUGCAGUUUUUUCCGUUCUCAUAGCAAGGAAGGAUUUAUCUUAUUCUUUAGCUUGGCUUUGCCUUUUUAUUUAUUUAUUUUUAAGUACUUUAUGUUUCAUUGCUAUUUGUUCAGACAGGGAGGAAGUGGCCCUCAAGAAAUGAAUUUACAAGUUUAUAUUAACACUGAGGUCCCCUGUUGGUCAUUAGAUCAGAAACAGUGUUUUAUUUUGUUUUACUUUUUUUUUUCUUUUUUGGGGAAGGGGAAGACGUGAGGAAGAUUGGCCCUGAGCCAACAUCUGUUGCCAAUCUUCCUCUUUUUGCUUGAGGAAGAUUGCUGGUGAGCUAACAUCUGUGCCAAUCUUCCUCUACUUUAUGUGGGAUGCCACCACAGCAUGGCUCAAUGAGCAGUGCCAGGCCUGCACCAUGGAUCUGAACCCAUGAACCCCGGGCUUCGGAACCCAACCACUACACCACCGAGUUGGCCCCUUGUUUUACAUUUUUAAGUUAUGUCUAACACUCAAGUUGUUUUCAGUUAUGUGGAGCCCUUUGACAGGAAUCAAGAGAGAAGAACAGAGACUAUGAGGUUUCCCAUGUGGUCCUGAGUUUUAUUAUAGUGGUGAAUCUAGAUCCACACAGAUCGGGGAAUAAAUACUAUUUUUUCCAUAAUGGUAGAAACAAGUGGUUUAAUCUCUUUGAGCCCUGGUUUCCCCAUCUAUAACAUGGGAAAAUUGUUUCAACAUUUUUGUUUUUUUUAAGGAUUAAAUAGAGUGUAUAUGAAGUAUAUACCACAGUGACUGGCUCUGUAUCUUCACGGAGAGUAACAAAAAACCAACUCAGAUGCUUAAGCAAAAUGUAAAUUGACUGGCAUAUUUUACCGGAAGUUCAGAGAUAGGGUGGGUUUACAGACUAACCUAAUCCAGUGUCUCCAGUCGUGAUCCUUGUGAUUCUCCUGGAUGUACACUCUUCAUAUAUCUACUUCUUGUAUAAAUGUUACUAUAUCUCCUCGUCAGACUGAUAGUGACAAGGUGCCCACAACUAGUCUGGACCUGUCUGCAUAAACAACAUCCAGAAGAGACAAGUUAUGUCAGAGGAAGAGGGCAUGCUGAUUGGCAAAAUCCACAAGCCCCAUUCUUUGAGCUUGGGGUAGGAUGAGGCUCCCCUGAAUUACAAAGGAUGUAAGUGGGAGGAGCACUUGUGUUAAGAGGGUGAAAGUGGUCUCUGGGUAGGAGUGCCAGGAUGUUUUUGGGUACCCAGCUCAAACUGGUGUAAACAAUAGAAACAUGUAUUACUUCAUAUGACAGGCAGUCCAAAGGUAUGGCUCAGCUCACAAGAGUCAAUUGUUGGAUACUCAAGAAUUUUGUAAGUCAGUUGUUAAACUGUUGGUAGCUUGAUAGUGUCAUGGUCAGAGCAAUUACUUUGCUUAGAGAAUGCUGACUUUGUAUUUUUAAAGUAGAAGGAAUCAGUUUCUUCAGUCAAGUGAACGUAAGGGGACUUUUGCAGGUAUUGCUUCCAGCCUUUAAAGUCCUACAUUUAAUUUCUAGCCACCAAGCUAUGCUUCUGUCUGGAGACAUUUACCAUCAAUAAAGUUAAGACCACUCUCCAUCUUCUUUUCUUCCAUAAGAAUGCUUUAAGGGAGCGAUUGACUUCCUGGCACCAAUAGUAGUCAUUUUUUAGUUGUUUUUUACUGAGAGGACAUAAAUCUUGCUGGUAACGUCAGCCCCCUUGGAAGAUGCCUCCAGUCAUCAACUGUCAGCUCCUAUGGGAGCCACAAACCCAGAAACAUGGAAGCUAGGUACCUGGGUGCUGCCAAACCAGGAGAGUACAGACUCCCUUCUUUCCAUCCUACUCUCCCUCACCUCCUCAACUCCCUCCUCCUCGUCCCCCUCUCCCACAGGACCAGUGUGAAGUCAUGUCUCUCGUGCCCUCCACUCUCUUCAACUCCAUCUCUCCUUCCUUUUUCUUCUCUUUUUCUCCACCUCAUGCUUCUGUUGUGUACUUUCCUUCUCUCUCUCUUUCGAAUUUUCUUAGGAAGGGAGGCCUUGGUGAGAGGGAGUGUGAUUCUUCCUCCUCUCCACAUCCAGUGUGUCACCAGGUCCUGUUGAUUUGACUUCCUAAAUACUCUUGAAUCCAUCCAGUUUUGUCUGUGCAUUCAAGACCGUUACCCUGUUCCUGGCCACAUGCUCACCUUGGAUUAUUGCAGCAGCUUCUUAACUGGUCUUGUUUUCACUCUUGUGCCUCCAAUCCACACUCCAGACAGCAGCCAGCAUGAUCUUUCUCAAUGGAAAAUUUGAUUAUGUUGCUUCCCUGCUUAAAAUCCUCCCAUGGCUUCCUAUGCUCUUAGAGUAGAGUCUACACUGGGUUUAUAAGGCCCUCUGAGACCUGGGCAUAUGCACCUUUCUAGUUCCCUUUCUGAACACUUUUCCCUCUCCCACUCUAAAGCCCCAGCCAUGUCAAACCACUUUUUGUCCCUCAAAGCUGCUCGGCUAUCCUUCCUUGCCUCCGAGUUUUUCUCUUCUUGCUUCUUCCUCCCAUUUUGACUUGCUACCACCAAUUUAUCCUUGAGGUCUCAGCUUUAAAUAUCACUUUUUAUGGAAUUCGUAUCCUGAUGCUGUCUAAACCAUACACCUCUGACGUGUUCACAUACAAUGCCAUUUUAUAGAUAGUUGUUUAACUGUCUCUCCCUUGCUAAAAUCAGGAAAUCAUGAUUAACACAGAGUAGGUAUUCUUUCAAUCAACAUUUCUUAAGCGAAUCCAUUAAUGAAGGAAUAAAUGUAUGCCCAAGUCAUUUGUGUGUCUUUGUGACCAGCAUUUGGUAGGAGUUAUAGUGAAUGCUAGAAAGGCUGAUCUUUUUUCUUAAAAAAUGAUCAUGUUGUUAAAUUAUCAGAGUAUCCAAAGCCCUUCAAGAUUCUUCCCCUCCCUCUGUGUCAUUCCAACCCUCUUUCUCACUGCUUCCUCAAUGCCCCCCACCUUCUUGUUUCUAACACCAUUACACUCAGUAGAAAUCUUGCCCUGACUGCUUGUAUGUACCCUGUGCUCCCCACCAAAAAGAACAUCUAGCCAAAUUCCACCCCUCCUCAAAGGCCCAGGGAAAGAACUCCUUCAAGAGGCCCUCACUAAGUCUCUGUAAGCCUCAAUUCUCUUCUGAAGUCAUCCGUGACUGCCUUUAGGAACACCCCUGGCAUUCCAGCAAGCACCUUAUACUACUUGAUUUGUCAUGUGUAUGUUGAUAUGUCGUGUAUAUCUUGUCCCCCUAUAUACGCUGUAAGGUCCUUCAGGGCAAGAAACAAACCAAAAAGAAGUGAUUAAGAGGACCAGCUCUGAAGACAGUGCAUUUGGAUCUCUGCCAUCCCUUGAUUUGAGAGCUUGCCACCUUGGGCAAGUCACUUAACCUCUCUGAGCCUCAGUUUCCUGACUUCUAGAAGAGAGAUGAUAAUAAUAAUAUCUUCCAUGUAGUUUUGCUCUGAGGAUUAAAUGAGAUACUCCCACUGGAGUACCUGGAAGGCGGCUGACACAUGCAUUAUUCGUAAUAUCCAAGAUGUGGAAGCAACCCAAGUGCCCAGCUACAGAUGAAUGGAUAAAGAAGAUGUGGUAUAUAUACACAAUGGAAUACUACUCGGCCAUAAGAAAUGAUGAAAUUGUGCCAUUUGUGACAACGUGGAUGGACCCUGAGAGUAUUAUGCUAAGUGAAAUAAGUCAGACAGAGAAAGCCAAAUACCAUAUGAUUUCACUCAUAUGUGGAAGAUAAACAAACACCUGGAUAAGAAGAACAGAUUAGUGGUUACCAGAGGAAAAGGGGGUGGAGGGAGGGUGGAAGGGGUAGAGGGGCGCAUGUGUAUGGUGAUGGAUAAAAACUAGACUAUUGGUGGUGAACACGAUGCAGUCUAUACAGAAACUGAAAUAUAAUAUUGUACACCUGAAAUUUACACAAUGUUAAAAGCCAAUAUGACCUCAAUAAAAAAAAAUGGAGUAAAAAAAUACAAGUAUG